AAAAUACAAGUCAUCACCCAGCCCAAUCCCCAUCCCACUCUCCCAGCCAGCACCGCCCUAUCCGCGCCUCCGCCUGCCCUAGCGCAUCGCCGCCGCCUUGUCACUUGCCGCCCAGGCCUGUUAUCGCCGUCCGCCGCACGCCGCACGUCCGCCCGAGCUCGACGACCCCGGGGCCCGGCGCCCACGCGCGCGGCCGCCGGCGCAGCGCCAGUGCCAGCGCUGGCGGCUCGCGGCCCGCCCCAGCUCCGCCGUUCCGGCCGCCUGUCGCGCGCCCACGCGGCGCAGGCCGCAGGGGCGCCGCGCGCUGCGCUCGGUAGGGCGCUUAGCGAGAGGGCCGGCUGCGGAGGGUGCAUCGAGAGGAGGUGGCCGAGGCUGCCGCCUCCGGGGGCGUGCGGUUGCGGCGCGUGCGCGGCCCCCGUCACGGCGGAUCCCUCCAUCUCCUCGAUCCGGAGCCACUGUCCAUUGAGCAAGAAGACAGCUAGCGGCUAGCCAAUCUGCCAGUGAACCAAGAUGAUUAGUGUGUUUGUAUUUUAUUUUCUGAUGGGCUGCCAACUCCACUCCCUGAACGGGCUGCCAGAUCUGGCCCAUACUAUUACUAUCUUCCUAUAGUUCAGAAAAUUACAAAAGCAUUUGGUCGUGCUAUGGAAGUGGUAAAUCCUGCUUGGAAUAAGGAUGUAUAUGAUUGGCCUCAAAUAUACCCAGGAGUCGUACCAAAAAUAUUUGACUGGUAACUUUAGAUGUCAAUAUAUGGAUUUUACAUACAUUAUUAUAAAUUAAAGGCAUAUAGUGGGGUGAUGGACUUUUAAAAUUUUCUGCAGUAAUUUGAUGGGGUUUAUUGCUAUCAAUCUCAUGGACAUGUGGGAUGGUAAAGAAUUUCAUCAAUUACUGCGUGUGGUUAGUAACACUCUUCGUCAAAGUUAAAUGCUCUUGAUAUGAUGAUGCUAUGUCAUUAGCCAUUUAACUAACAUUUUUGUUGUGGUGAUGUAUUGUAUACGAGGAUGCGAAAGUUCUAUGGAAAUGGUUGGUCAUAGAUCUACUAAAGUGGAUGUGGAACGAGGUCCAAGUUAACAUUCCUGAAGAUAUAGCUGGAGCUCUAAAGAACAUAUGUAACACCUGGGUGGAGAAAUAUAUUUAGAUAAAUUAAUCGCAUACCAUGGCUAAUCUGAGCAAGAAAUAUGGAUGGAACUUGCUACAUUUUUUAAGUCUUGUAUGCUACUGUUGGCCAUAUUUUAAAUUCCCGUAUCAAUCAAUAAUCAACAUUAAUGGAUUGAGAUAAGUUCUUAUGCUA